GCCUUGUUAGCUCAGUGUGGUAGAGCGCGUGGCUUUUAACCACGUGGUUGAGGUAGUGUGUAGUAACGUGGUAGAGCGCGUGUUUUUUAACCACACGUGGUU
rnacentral:tRNA from 1 species